UAGACUCACCACAAGUUACUCCUCAACUCUCUUUAAGCUUUCAUCCAAAAACUCUCCAACAAUGGCUUCCUCUACCCAAACACCCUCUUCUUCUUCUUCUACCCCAAUCCGUAAAUAUAACUUCGAUGUGUUCUUGAGUUUUAGAGGUGAAGACAGCGGCUACAAUUUUACGGAUCAGUUAUACGAAAAUUUGCUUCGGUCGACGACUAAAACUUUCAGAGACGAUGAACUUGAGAAAGGAGAGGAGAUCAAAUCAGGAAUUUUGAAAACUAUUGAAGAAUCAAAAAUUUCCAUAGUUGUGUUCUCAAAAAACUAUGCGCAUUCCAAGUGGUGUUUGGAUGAGUUCGCGAAGAUCAUGGAGUGCAGGAAAGAAAUGGGACAAAUAGUCUUGCCGGUCUUCUACCACGUGGACCGUCCUGAUGUGCAUGUGCAAAGAGGGAGCUUCGGAGAGGCAUUUUGCAUUCAUAAAAGAGAUGUAGAUGAGAAAAAGGUGCAAAGGUGGAGGGAUGCCUUGACUAAAGCAGCCUAUCUAUCUAGUUUCCAUGUGCCCAAGGAUGGGAAUGAGUCAACUAUUAUUGAGAAAAUCAUUGAUUUCGUCAAUCGCGAAUUGAAACUUCCAGGUCAUAACUUAAUUGGAAUUGAUGGACGUUUGGAAGAAUUGAAGUCAUUGAUAGGCAUUGGAUCUUAUGAUGUUCGCAUGCUUGGAGUAUGGGGAUUAGGUGGAAUUGGUAAAACCUCAAUUGCACGUGUUAUUUAUAACUCAAUCUCAUACCAAUUCGAUGGUGCUAGCUUUCUUCCAAGUGUUUGCGAGCAAUCCAUGCCUAGAGUACAAAAAGAACUUCUAUCUGACAUUACAGAACUAUCCUAUGAAGAGCUGAAUGUUGAUGAAGGGCUCAAUAAGAUAAAGGAGGAAUUGCAAAAAAAAAAAAUUCUUAUCAUUGUUGAUGAUGUGGAUUGUUUGAGUCAAUUAAAGGAUUUAGUUCCAAAUCGAGAUUGUCUUGGUGGGGGAAGUAGAAUUAUUAUAACGACUAGAGAUAAACAUUUACUACUUGAGCAUGGAGUGGAUGCUAUAUAUGAGGUUCAAGGAUUAGAUUUUGAAGAAUCUAUACGUCUCUUUAGUCUUUAUGCCUUCAAAGCAAGAUUUCCUAAACGAGAAUACAGAGGACUUUCCCUAAAUAUAGUAAAUUAUAGUGAGGGCCUUCCAUUGGCUCUUAAAGUUUUAGGUGGUUUUCUUUUUGGUAAGUCAAUAUAUGAAUGGGAAAGUAUAUUGUAUAAACUAAAACACCAAUCCUUGAAAGAAAUUCAAGAUGUGCUUCAAAUCAGUUAUGAUAGACUAGAUUAUAAAACAAAAGAUAUAUUUCUUGAUAUUGCAUGUUUUUUUAAAGGGGAAGAAAGAGAAUUUGUCUCAAGAAUAUUAGAUGGGGCUGAGAAAGCAAUAACAGAUCUCUAUAAUAAGUCUCUCCUAACUUUUUCAAAUAAUAAGAUAAUGAUGCACCCUUUAUUGCAACAAAUGGGUCAAGGAGUUGUUCAUCAAGCAUGUCCUCAAGAGCCAGGAAAGCAGAGCAGAUUGUGGAGAUCAGAGGAUGUCCAUCGCAUAUUGAGGCAAAAUGAAGGGACUGAUGCGAUUGAAGGGAUAGUUCUAAAAAUAUCUGCAGCAGAACGAAUAGCGUUUACCACUAAAGCUUUCAAAAUGAUGAACAAACUUAGAUUACUCAAAGUUUGUCGGGAUCAUAAAUGUGGUUCUAUGGUGCAUGUUUCUACGGACUUUGAAUUUCCGUCUUAUGAGUUAAGAUAUCUUCAUUGGGAUGGAUAUCCUUUGGAAUCUUUGCCAUCAAAUUUUCAUGGAGAGAAGCUUAUUGAACUCAAUCUGCAGAAUAGUGAACUAAGAGGACUUUGGGAAGGGAGCAAGCCUCUUGAGAAGUUAAAGGUUAUCAAUCUCAGUCACUCUCAGCAGCUCAUUCAAAUCCCAGACUUCUCAGAUACACCGAAUCUGGAGAGUCUAAUUCUUGAAGGGUGCACAAACCUUGAGAACAUUCCAAGCAGCAUCUGGGACUUGGAUUCUCUUGUAAAUCUUGAUCUCUCUCGCUGUUCAAAACUCCAGGAACUUGCAGAGAUCCCGUGGAAUCUAUACUCAUUGGAAUAUUUGAACUUGGCAUUCUGCACGAAUCUUGAAAGCCUUCCAGAGAGCCUUUCUAACUUGAAAUGUCUUAAGACUCUCAAUGUAAUCGGGUGUUCAAAACUGCCCGACAACCUGGGAAGCCUGGAAUGUCUAGAGAAGCUUUAUGCAUCAAGUUCAGAAUUGAUUAGCCCUCAAUCGGAUUCCUCUUUGGCUGGUUUGUGCUCCUUAAAAGUAUUGGAUGUGCAUGGCACCAACCUAGAGCAAGGAGCGAUCGGUAGUGACAUUGGCAGCUUAUACUCAUUGGAAGAAUUGGACCUAAGUUACUGCAAUUUAACAGAAGGAGGAAUUCCCGAUGAUAUUUGUUGCCUAUACUCAUUGAGAGUAUUAGAUCUAAGUGGAAACCAUUUUCUUAAAGUAACUGAUGCCAUAAGUCAACUUUCUAAGCUAAGAGUGCUUGGGUUGAGGCACUGCAAGAGUCUUCUAGAAAUUCCAGAGCUUCCAUCAAGUCUCAGAGUCCUAGAUGCCCAUGAUUGCAUAAGCCUGGAAACUUUAUCAAGUACAUCAUUGUUGCAAUGGCAGAGGCAGUUAAAUUGCUUCAAAUCUGCUCGUUUACAAGAAAUUCAGGAGUUGAAAUACAGAAGGCUUUUCUCUCUUCCAGCAAAUGGUGUCAGCCAGGGAUUUAAUACUGUUAUCCCUGGAGGUGGAGAAGUUCCAGAGUGGAUAUCACACGAGGGUAUUGGCAGUGAAGUAACAGUAAAGCUUCCUCUUAAUUGGUACCACAAGAAGGACUUCUUGGGAUUCGCAUUAUGCUGUGUUUAUAUUCCACAACAGGAUGAACCUGUGGAUGAAUCAAUGGAUGAACCAGAGAGUAGUAAGUCUGAGAAUGCCAUGGUGAAUAUCACGCAACCUUAUCGCUUAGGAUGUGAACUGAGUUUCCUUGAUGAUGAAAUUGGGUUUUUGGAUUAUCUCUUCUGUGGAUCAUCCUGCCAAUGCGACCAUAAUGAUGGUGUAUCAGAGUCAGUGUGGGUAACGUAUUAUUCUAAUGUUGCUAUUAAGCACAAGUACCGGUCCCAUAAAUCAAGGCAUUUAAAGGCGUCAUUUCGUGGUUAUGUUGAUGGUAAGCCAGUGAAGGUGAAAAAGUGUGGGAUUGGUCUUGUACAUGUUGAUCUUAAGAACAGCAGUGGAGUUGGAAGUGGUAGCUCUAGUAAUGAUCAGAAGCCCCUAAAAGUUUGAGAUGAUCCACCGACGAUUCCAUGCAUAGAUCCAAGGCCAAAUUGGUAGGAUUCACAAUGGCACCCCCAGAGCUCCUGCUCCUUGAUAGUCUCUCUGUGUCUCUCUGGUUUUGGACCUUUCAAGCCAUGACAACAUUAUUGCAUGCGGGUCUUGGAAUUGAUCAACCAAGCUAGGACAUCCCACGCGUUUCAGGCACAACACUCAACUGAUCAAUUGAGGCUUAAGUUGGUUUCCCAUGUCAGCUGAAUGGUUGGAAGCGGUUCCAAAAGACAAGCAGUGGGAUGAGUUGAUGUCUGAAUGUGAGUCCUUGAAAGAGAAACAGUUGCUAAAGAGACAUGGGAUGGUCUACUUGUACUGAUCAUCUAAUUGCAGACUGGUAGGCAUUAAUCUCGAUCCUUGACAAAAACACACUGCAAUUUGGGAAUAAUUCAUUCUGUGUGGAUGAAAAAGUAUGACUUGCAAAUGCUAGAAACUAGAAUUUAUGUUUUCAGCUAUGAAAUGUAUGUAUGAUUGAGGUUUGAAUGAGCA